UUCCAGAUGAACAUGGAUUUGGAUCCGCUAUUCAUAUCAGAGUGAUAACGAGACGUCAGCAAGAUGACUGCAACAAAAACGGAUAUGCAGCACGCGGGCAGCAGCUUUCAAUGGGACAAGCUGUCGCCCGCCGAGUUCCAGCAGCUGCAGGAGUUGACCUCGUAUUCAACGAAAAAGCUUCAAGAUGUCCUCAAAGAAUUUUGUGAAGUCAAAAAGCAGAGUUCCGAUGGG